CAAUUUAAAGCUUAAAAAGAUAAGUAUUUCAUUUACAUUGAGAAGGAUAUGUGCAAUUCAUAAUAAAUUGA
rnacentral:tRNA from 1 species